rnacentral:rRNA from 1 species
AGAGUUUGAUCAUGGCUCAGGAUGAACGCUGGCGGCGUGCCUAACACAUGCAAGUCGAGCGGCAGCGCGAGUAGUUUACUACUUGGCGGCGAGCGGCGGACGGCUGAGUAACGCGUGGGAACAUACCCCAAAGUGAGGGAUAACUGCCCGAAAGGGUAGCUAAUACCGCAUAUGAUCUUCGGAUUAAAGGAUUUAUCCGCUUUGGGAGUGGCCCGCGUCGGAUUAGGUAGUUGGUGAGGUAAAGGCUCACCAAGCCGACGAUCCGUAGCUGGUCUGAGAGGAUGACCAGCCAGACUGGGACUGAGACACGGCCCAGACUCCUACGGGAGGCAGCAGUGAGGAAUCUUCCACAAUGGGCGAAAGCCUGAUGGAGCAACGCCGCGUGCAGGAUGAAGGCCUUCGGGUUGUAAACUGCUUUUAUAAGUGAGGAAUAUGACGGUAACUUAUGAAUAAGGAUCGGCUAACUACGUGCCAGCAGCCGCGGUCAUACGUAGGAUCCGAGCGUUAUCCGGAGUGACUGGGCGUAAAGAGUUGCGUAGGCGGUUUGUUAAGCGAAUAGUGAAACCUGGUGGCUCAACCAUACAGACUAUUAUUCGAACUGGCAAACUCGAGAGUGGUAGAGGUCACUGGAAUUUCUUGUGUAGGAGUGAAAUCCGUAGAUAUAAGAAGGAACACCAAUGGCGUAGGCAGGUGACUAGACCAUUUCUGACGCUAAGGCACGAAAGCGUGGGGAGCGAACCGGAUUAGAUACCCUGGUAGUCCAA